GUAGGGUGCAAGCGUUAAUCGGAAUUACUGGGCGUAAAGCGUGCGCAGGCGGUUGUGUAAGUCAGAUGUGAAAUCCCCGGGCUCAACCUGGGAAUUGCAUUUGAGACUGCACGGCUAGAGUGUGUCAGAGGGGGGUAGAAUUCCACGUGUAGCAGUGAAAUGCGUAGAUAUGUGGAGGAAUACCGAUGGCGAAGGCAGCCCCCUGGGAUAACACUGACGCUCAUGCACGAAAGCGUGGGAGCAAACAGGAUUAGAUACCCUGGUAGUCCACGCCCUAAACGAUGUCUACUAGUUGUCGGGUCUUAAUUGACUUGGUAACGCAGCUAACGCGUGAAGUAGACCGCCUGGGGAGUACGGUCGCAAGAUUA
rnacentral:rRNA from 1 species